UACUUUGGUGGCGACCGGCGCACGGGUGCGUAACGCGUAUGCAACCUACCUUUAACAGGGGCAUAACACUGAGAAAUUGGUACUAAUUCCCCAUAACAUUCGAGAAGGCAUCUUCUUGGGUUAAAAACUCCGGUGGUUAAAGAUGGGCAUGCGUUGUAUUAGCUAGUUGGUGAGGUAACGGCUCACCAAGGCAACGAUACAUAGGGGGACUGAGAGGUUAACCCCCCACAUUGGUACUGAGACACGGCCAA
rnacentral:rRNA from 1 species